UCUCCCACGUCCGUGGCACUCCUCCUCCCAGCCACGGCCGCAUAAAGAACAGCGUUCCUCCCAGAGCCGUUCUUUACAAGUAACACCCAUCGCUCCUCCCAGCGGUGGGUGUUCUUC
rnacentral:sRNA from 1 species